rnacentral:rRNA from 1 species
UACAGAGACUGCGAGCGUUAUUCGGAUUCACUGGGCGUAAAGGGUGCGCAGGCGGCCAAGUGUGUUAGGCGUGAAAGCCCGGGGCUUAACCCCGGAAUUGCACCUAAAACUACAUAGCUAGAGUACUGGAGAGGGUAACGGAAUUCACGGUGUAGCAGUGAAAUGCGUAGAUAUCGUGAGGAACACCAGAGGCGAAGGCGGUUACCUGGACAGUUACUGACGCUCAGGCACGAAAGCGUGGGGAGCAAAAGGG